GAUUCGGAUGAAGUUUCGCUAACGUUAACGUAAACGUUAAGGUUACUACUAGUGGAGGACAUGCUGUCUUCGUUUCGCUUUGCUAAAUGGCCUUGACUUCUCACUCUUGACUGCGGGUCCCGAACGAGCGCCCCGGCGCUCGCACCAUCGUUCGUACCUCCCGUCGAUUCUUGUCUCUCGCUGUCACUCAGUCGCAUCAGCGCCAGUGACAGAAGCAUCAACAACGUGACGCCAACGCGGUCCAUCUUGGACUGCGAAAUGUUAUGGAAACCACCGCUCGAAAAUGGGACCGCUUUUCAAAAGAAAAGAAAGGCGCUGAAUUGUUUACAACCACCUCCACAAAAAAAUGUGCGAAGAACUGUUCCCAACUGUUCCAACCCUUUCCCAACUGUUCCAAAACUUCAGCAAGCAGGCAUCCCCUCGCGAGACCGCACGACGUCUGGACCGCUCUUCAUCAUCACGUCAGAUCUCAAGCAGCCCAGUGAGGGGUUGGCUCUCCGCUUCCAGCCACAGAGAUGCACUCCACUCUGUCAUCAGACUGGUCCCCCCGCAGCCAGAACUGUCAACACUCGUUGUUGGGCUGUCCAACACACACAUCAGCGGAUAUGGCGGUCCACUCACCCAAGACUCGAGCAAUGGAUCGGAUGGAUGGAAAAUAUGUACAAACCACGGGUCCUGGGCAAUCUAGCACAACGAUGACUCCUGAACCCGGCGUGUAAUACGAGGAGCCCGAAGAGAUGUGGGGGGCGUUGGUGAGGAAGUUCAGAAGGCUGGAAAAGUUAUGUUUGCUAAUUGGCCCAAUAAAGAGUGACAAGGGGGGGGUUGACGUGUUAUGCCACGUCACCGAGCCGUAAGAUAAUGAAUCUUACGGCAACAAAAA